CUUUUUCUCAGCACUGGCAUCUUUUAUACACACUGUCUUUGUACGAGCCCGAAUUUUAGUCUCCCAAACUUUGUUGGAGACAUGCUAACCUUUACCGCAGUUUUCUACCUUGUCUUGGUGUCGUCUCUUGCCGACGUAGAAGCCUCCGCGGCGGACAGUGGGGGUCACGGCAACCCGGCGCAUCUCAAUAACCUUGAAAGAUCGAACAGCUUCGAUUCGUCCAUGCUUCCAGAACAGGAAGGCCGGCAAAUGAAAGAAGAAAAAAGUUCGGCCUUUUACAACUAUGAGUGGUUCUGACCGCUCAAACAAAAUGAACAAAUACCUGGCAACGCUGAUGACAAAGUGGCGGCGUUUGAUGUGAGGGACGUUGGGGUGAGCUGUAGUUUUGAGAUCAGCUCCAUGGUCAGCUCUUUAUAGUUUUUUUAAUAAUCUCGAUUAACAAAUAGGACUUCUAGUAUAACAGCGUUGAGCCCCACGUCGCUUAUUGUUUCUUCAGACUAUGGCAGGUUACACGAGGCUUUGAGGCAAAGGAAAUUUUUCAUUAAACAUUAUUCGUGCUUGGGA